CUGCCUUGUGCAUUAGAUGCUCUAUCAAUAUGUAGCACCCAUACCGAUGUUAAGUCGGGUUCGAGAGUCGUGGCCUGUUUCAUUUUGUCAUCGGCUUCAUCUUCAAAUUUAUUAUUAGGUAUUGUACAUUCGAUGACGAAGUCGGUCAAAACUUGCGCCUUCAUUGAUGGACGUGGACGAUAUUGUAUAUCAAAUUCAUCGAGUUUUAUCACUCACUUUGCUAUUCAACCCGAUGUAUCAGGUCGAUGCAAGAUUGCCUUCAACGACUGAUCCGUUAGGACAACAAUAGAAUGUGCUUGGAAGUAUGGACGAAGUCCUUGUGAUGAUAUGAUCAGAGCGUAGAUCAUCUUCUCCACUUUUGAAUAUCUCACUUCAACAUUGUGAAGCACCUUGCUAG
rnacentral:lncRNA from 1 species